rnacentral:rRNA from 1 species
UACGGAGGGGGCUAGCGUUGUUCGGAAUUACUGGGCGUAAAGCGCGCGUAGGCGGCUUUGUAAGUUAGAGGUGAAAGCCCGGAGCUCAACUUCGGAAUUGCCUUUAAGACUGCAUCGCUUGAAUCAUGGAGAGGUCAGUGGAAUUCCGAGUGUAGAGGUGAAAUUCGUAGAUAUUCGGAAGAACACCAGUGGCGAAGGCGACUUACUGGACACAUAUUGACGCUGAGGUGCGAAAGCGUGGGGAGCAAACAGG